UUCGUGUGAACAGUGGUUGAUCACGAGUUAGUCGGUCCUAAGUUCAAGGCGAAAGCCGAAAAUUUUCAAGUAAAGAAAAAUCAAAAAUAUAUAUAUCAAUCUAGUAGAUUUUUAUACACUUGAAUAAUUUUGAACGAAAGGGAAUACGGUUCCAAUUCCGUAACCUGUUGAGUAUCCGUUUGUUAUUAAAUAUGGGCCUCGUGCUCAUCCUGGCAACAGGAACGACCAUAAAGAAGCCGUCGAGAGGUAUCGGAAGAGUUUUCUUUUCUGUUUUAUAGCCGUACUACCAUGGAAGUCUUUCGCAGAGAGAUAUGGUAGAUGGGCUAGAAGAGCAUGACAUAUACUGUUGUGUCGAUAUUUUCUCCUCGGACCUUGAAAAUUUAUGGUGGGGAUACGCAAACUUCUCAACAGGCCGUACCAAUAUCCGCAGCUGGUCUCCAAG
rnacentral:rRNA from 1 species